GGGCGUAUGACAGAAAAUUAUAAUGUCAUUCAUAGUAGUGCUAGUUACAAGUAGGAUUCUUGACAUGUAGAGAGCUAUUUGACUAAUUGACUAUAUCAUUUACAAGGAAAUCCUAAUUACAGCUAAAACCAAAAUUAGUGCUUUAUAUCCCCACAAUCGUCAUCUCAUCUUACGCUUCCCUCUCCGAAUGAGGGCUGUGCUUGCUCGAGUAUUAUCACUCUCAGGCGAUGAGUCUUCCACAACUGUUUCUUCUUGUAACACCAAGCCACGGUUCCUGGACAACUUCCUAAUGGGAGUAGUCGGUCCUGCUUCUUGAGAUUCUUCAAACGUUAGAUUUUGUUGGCUAUCAUAUGCUAGGUUUAUUUGAUUCCUAUUUGGCAUUAACUCCUCCCCAACACCAACCAAUGAAGUCAUUAACUUCCAAUCCUUGAAGUCGAGUUUGAAGACAAAGUGCCUGUAUACAACCUCCCCUGAUAUAACUGCACAGGCAGCAGCCGCAUUCCUUGGAGAAACUAGAUGCCAGCCAUUCUCAUUCACUUUUAUUUCAGCUCGCCCAUCUUUAACUAGAAAUGACAAAGUAAACAAAUUCUCCACGGUCUGUGCAAAUGAGUUUCUAUUCAACACUAAAUUUUCGAGCUUGACACUUUUUUUCUUCCUUAAAAUAUUAAACAUUGUUGCCAUAUUGUUGUCUGUAUCCAUUCUUUCUUUUGCCAAAUGGUCAUCAACAACCUCUUCAGGCUGAAUACUCUCAGUUGGUUUCACACGUUUUCUAACAGCAGCCUUCCGUACCUUUAAUUUGGUAUCUGCAGCCCCAAUCAUUGUAUAGCACCCAGGACAGCUCCUAAAUAUAUGAGAUACUGCAACUCCAAUAUUGUUCCAGCCUAGUAAGACCCUGCCAGCUUCUGCGCUGCUGCUAGGCCCACCUUGUUGCCCAAAUUCUCUAAGGAGACAAGUUAUAUAAUCCGAGGCAGUUAUUCCAUCAUUGCCCUGUGCCUUGACAUAGGUGACCAACGACUUUGUGAUGUCUAAAAGGGCCUCUGCAUCAGCAACUUGUUCUCUUGGUUUCUGUACUAGCUGGUGCAAGCUUUCUACUUCAUGAAAGAUUGAUCGGAACUUAUCAGAAUCAACCUUUCCAAUAUCGUCUCUUUCGUCAAUAAUGAGGUUCUUCACGGCGAGGUACCGUGCUCGAAGAGCAGCGCCACCGGCCGCGACUGCACGGCCAGAUUCACUCGUAUCGGCUUCACCAUCAUCUGCUCGAGUACUACUAACGUUAACACUGGUAGCAGCAGAAGCAUUUCCCGGUUCUGGUUUCACUGGUGGGGGCAUGGAUAUUGGAUUGCGUCCUGAAAUUGGAACAACUUCCAGAACAAGAAACGAAAGAGGAGAAGUUGAAGAGGUCAAAGGUCGUGAUUAAUGGAAUAUUGGAAUUGGAAAACCCUAAAUUCUGAAACUGAGAAAUCGUUAAAGCCCUGCAAUGGAGAGAUUUGAAGAGUCGUUUUCCCUCCUUCCACUCUUCCCAGCCGCUUC
rnacentral:misc_RNA from 1 species